rnacentral:rRNA from 1 species
GGGAUCCGAUUUUAGCAUGGAAUAAUAAAAUAGGACGUGUGGUUCUAUUUUGUUGGUUUCUAGGACCGCCGUAAUGAUUAAUAGGGACAGUCGGGGGCAUCAGUAUUCAAUUGUCAGAGGUGAAAUUCUUGGAUUUAUUGAAGACUAACUACUGCGAAAGCAUUUGCCAAGGAUGUUUUCAUUAAUCAGGAACGAAAGUUAGGGGAUCGAAGACGAUCAGAUACCGUCGGAGUCUUAACCAUAAACUAUGCCGACUAGGGAUCGGACGGUGUUAUUUUUUGACCCGUUCGGCACCUUACGAGAAAUCAAAGUGCUUGGGCUCCAGGGGGAGUAUGGUCGCAAGGCUGAAACUUAAAGAAAUUGACGGAAGGGCACCACCAGGGGUGGAGCCUGCGGCUUAAUUUGACUCAACACGGGGAAACUCACCAGGUCCAGAAAUCUAGA